rnacentral:rRNA from 1 species
GAACGCUGGCGGCGUGCCUAACACAUGCAAGUCGAACGGAGAUUAGACGCUGACGAGACUUCGGUCAAAUCUUGUUAAUCUUAGUGGCGGACGGGUGAGUAACGCGUGGGCAACCUGCCUCAUACUGGGGGAUAGCAGUUGGAAACGACUGAUAAUACCGCAUAAGCGCACAGCAUCGCAUGAUGCAGUGUGAAAAAACUCCGGUGGUAUGAGAUGGGCCCGCGUCAGAUUAGCUAGUUGGUAAGGUAACGGCUUACCAAGGCGACGAUCUGUAGCCGGACUGAGAGGUCGGACGGCCACAUUGGGACUGAGACACGGCCCAAACUCCUACGGGAGGCAGCAGUGGGGGAUAUUGCACAAUGGAGGAAACUCUGAUGCAGCGACGCCGCGUGAGUGAAGAAGUAUUUCGGUAUGUAAAGCUCUAUCAGCAGGGAAGAAAGGCUCGAAAGAGAGAUGACGGUACCUGACUAAGAAGCCCCGGCUAACUACGUGCCAGCCGCCGC